CCCUGAUCAGUUACUGUCAUGUAGAUACAGACUGAUCCCUGAUCAGUUACUAUCUUGUAGAUACAGACUGAUCCCUGAUCAGUUACUGUCUUGUAGAUAUAGGCUGGUCCCAAGACAGGAUGAUAACAGGAUAAUGUAAAUACAAACUACUUUGUAAAUAAGGAUUUAACGUGCUGACUAUUCCACACAUGUUAGCCCCUCCCCUCUAAGCAUUAACCUGGCUGUAAACCCUAACUAUCUGGACAAACAAAAGGCCUAAACAGAACUGUCCAGCUCCCAGAAUCCUCUUCAGACCAGUGUGUUCUGUUAGCCAACAAACUGCUGAAAAACACAUCACACCAGGAAAUGAUUCCUUAUCUUGAUACAUUUCUCCAAAUCCCAGAAAGCAGCCGGGUUCCACCCCUCCCUCUGAUCAAGGCCCCGCCCCAUCAAGACCCCACCCCGCCCCAUCAAGACCCCACCCCGCCCCAUCACUACACUGCCUUUCAAGUGAGCUGUCUUUUUGUACUCUGUAUGCCAGGACCAGUGGGGGAGCUGUUCAAGAAAAUAACUCGGCACUGAAAUCCCCAGCUCACACUGUAAAACUCUUUAAAGUGGCUUUAUUCUCAAACUCGUUUACAACUCUGAAUCAGCAGUCUUAUCUUAACGGUAAACACAAUCAUCUGAGGAAUCAGUAACUGGAGAGAGAUUAAACAAUUGAUGCUGUGGACAUUCUGCUUUGACUGACACCUUAAAGACAUACCAGCCAGUACAUGAUGAUUGCUGUAGAAAUGGAAGUCUUACAAUGAAAAGAAACAACCUGUUGUUGAACUGAUUUCUUUAAUACAAAAUGCCUUCUGUCUGUUUUUCUAGUUCAUGACGUCUGAAUUUAAUAAACUUUUCUGUGGAGUAAAUGUGGUGUUUUUGGCUCCUCCCUUACACAUGCAGCAAAUCAUGUGAUCAGCUCCAGGGCUAUCACUACUCUCCACAUGUUUUACUCCAAAAUCCAACAGGAUGUGCCGGCUUUUGCUGCAGCCCUUCUCAAAUACAACUAGCUGUAAUGCAUUUUUAAUAAUUACUUGUGUUUGUAUUCGGUUUGGAGAGAAUAUCUGCAGUCAGACUUAACUACCUAGUGUCUCCCCCCCCGUGUAGACUUAACUACCCAGUGCCCCCC
ensembl:lncRNA